rnacentral:rRNA from 1 species
CCUACGGGCGGCAGCAGUGAGGAAUAUUGGUCAAUGGACGAGAGUCUGAACCAGCCAAGUAGCGUGAAGGAUGACUGCCCUAUGGGUUGUAAACUUCUUUUAUAUGGGAAUAAAACGUUCCACGUGUGGGAUUUUGUAUGUACCAUAUGAAUAAGGAUUGGCUAACUCCGUGCCAGCAGCCGCGGUAAUACGGAGGAUCCGAGCGUUAUCCGGAUUUAUUGGGUUUAAAGGGAGCGUAGGUGGAUUGUUAAGUCAGUUGUGAAAGUUUGCGGCUCAACCGUAAAAUUGCAGUUGAAACUGGCAGUCUUGAGUACAGUAGAGGUGAGCGGAAUUCGUGGUGUAGCGGUGAAAUGCGUAGAUAUCACGAAGAACUCCGAUUGCGAAGGCAGUUCACUGGACUGCAACUGACACUGAGGCUCGAAAGUGUGGGUAUCAAACAGGAUUAGAUACCCUUGUAGUC